GAUGAACGCUAGCGGCAGGCCUAAUACAUGCAAGACGAACGGUAAGUUAGAUAGCAAUAUUUAACCAAGAGUGUCGUAAGGGUGCGUAACACGUAUGCAAUCUGCCCUCAACAGGAGUAUAGCUCGGGGAAACUCGGAUUAACACUCCAUAGGAUCUUAGGGCGGCAUCGCCUAGAGAUUAAAACUGAGGUGGUUGAGGAUGAGCAUGCGCAUGAUUAGCUAGUUGGUAGGGUAAUGGCCUACCAAGGCGAUGAUCAUUAGGGGAACUGAGAGGUUGAUCCCCCACACUGGCACUGAGAUACGGGCCAGACUCCUACGGGAGGCAGCAGUAGGGAAUAUUGGUCAAUGGGUGAGAGCCUGAACCAGCCAUGCCGCGUGCAGGAAGACGGCCUUCUGAGUUGUAAACUGCUUUUAUCUGUGGAUAAAAAGCUCAUGCGUGAGUAAUUGAAGGUACCAGAUGAAUAAGCACCGG
rnacentral:rRNA from 1 species